rnacentral:sRNA from 1 species
GCUGGGUGAGGUGGCACACACCUGUAAUCCCAGUGGCUUGAGAGGCUGAGACAGGAGGAUCGCAGGUUCAAGGCCAGCCUCAGCAACUGCCAGGCGCUAAGCAAUUCAGUGAGACCCUGUCUCUA